GUGCUCGCUUUGGCAGCACAUAUACUAAAAUUGGAACGAUACAGAGAAAAUUAGCAUGGCCCCUGCACAAAGAAAAUUUUCAUUAUUUUGACUUCUUGAGAACCAUC